ensembl:lncRNA novel transcript
GGCAACGUGUUCCGGUCCUCUUCCACAUCACGGAAGAUUUGCUCUUUCCUCUUUGCGAUGAAUCUUGCUGCUGGUCACCCUUUGGGUCCACACAGCAUUUAUGAGCUGUAACUUUCAGUGCGAAGGUCUGCAGCUUCAUUCCUGAAGCCAGCGAGACCACAAACCCACCGGGAGGAAAGAACAGCUCCAGGCGCGCCGCCUUAAGCGCUGUAGCACUCACCGCGAAGGUCUGCAGCUUCACUCCUGAGCCAGCGAGACGACGAACCCACCGGGAGGAACGAACAACUCCAGGCGCGCCGCCUUAAGAGCUGUAACACUCACUGCGAAGGUCCGCAGCUUCACUCCUGAGCCAGCGAGACCACGAACCCACCAGACGGAAGAAACUCUGAACACAUCCAAACAUCAGAAGGAACAAACUCCGGACACGCCUCCUUUAAGAACUGGAAAGACUCACCGCGAGGGUCCGUGGCUUCAUUCUUGAAGUCAGUGAGACCAGGAACCCACCAAUUCCGGACGCACUUCCUCCGGACUGUUGGUGCACUGAGUGAUCUGAAGUGCUCCCUGGCCACCAUGAAUGUAAGCAGGUGAGGCAAAGUACCCAGGCUUGGCAGCAGAGGCUGGGCUAUGCACACACUCUUAGCAGCCAGACAGUGGACCUGGGCGUAGCUACAGGUCAGGAGGGCCUGCAGAACAGAUGUGCCCAGUGCUGCAGAGAACUCGGCCCCACUUUCUCCUGGCCUGGUAGUCAGAUUAGGCUAGAGCUCCGUCAGAGAAAGAUGGGGAGCCCAGGGAGAUAGGUCCCUAUGGCCGUAUUCUGCUGGAGGUGUGUGGUGCACAAAGUCCCCCAGCUCUGUGCUGGCUUAAGCCUCUUCUUUGUCUACUGUCUGGGAAGAUCUCCCUGUCAGCUUAAAUGUAUGUGGGGGACAUGGGGACCCCUGUAGCCGGGAUCCUGGAGGUCCACAGCAACAGUGGCCUGUCCCACAGUUUCUUCACUCAUUCAUUCCCCAGGAGCCUUUCCAGGCUGGCAACUAGCCCCAGCAUUUGAGUAUCCCAUGCAGGGAUCCCAUGCAGCAUCUGUGUCACAUCUCCACCCACUUUUGGAAUUUUCUCUCCUUAGAUCUGUCCAAAUUAUGUCGGUUUACUCAAAACCUUGCUCGCUCUAGGGAGUGGCACUGAGGAACAUUUGUUCCAAGCUGUGGUAGACUUGAACCCGGGUCUCCUACCAGAGAUCAGUGCUGAUUUCGAUCUUCUUAAAUUUGUUAAGACUUGUUUUGUGAUUUAACAUAUCAUCAUGUGUUUGAGGAAAAUGUUCUUCCUUUCCUGGGUGAGAAGUUCUAUAUACGUCUGUUAAGUCUAUUUGGUCUAUAGUUUUAUUCAAAUCAGCUGUUUCUUUAUUGGUUUUCUAUUUAUAUGUUCAAUUCAUUAUUGAAAGCACAGCAAGUGAAGGCCGUAUAUCACAGGUACUUGUUUAUUUUUUUAUUUUAUUUUUUUAAAUUAUACUUUAAGUUUUAGGGUACAUGUGCACAACGUGCAGGUUAGUUACAUGUGUUUAUUUUUAUCCAUUCAGCUACUCUAUGCAUUUUGUCUGGGGAACUUAAUUUAUUUACUUUUAAAGUAAUUAUUGAUAGGUGAUGACUUACUAUUGCUAUUUUUUAUUUUUUCUCUUUCACAGUUGUUUUGUUCCUCUCUCUUUUGCUGUCUUCCUUUAUUUAAUGAUUUUACACAGUAUAUAUAGACUUUUAAAAUUUAUUUGUCUUGUUUACCCAUAUGUUUAAUAUUUUGUGUUCUUACUUCCUUCAUGCUGUUAUUUAUUUCUACUUGGUAUUGUAAAUUUUCAAAAUGGUUGAAUUUAUUUUCGCAGGUCUUCUAGUGCAGGUCUGCUAGUAAAGAAUUAUUUCUA